UACGUAGGGGGCAAGCGUUGUCCGGAUUUAUUGGGCAUAAAGAGCGUGUAGGCGGCUUUACAGGUCCGUUGUGAAAACUCGAGGCUCAACCUCGAGACGCCGGUGGAAACCGUAAAGCUAGAGUCCGGAAGAGGAGAGUGGAAUUCCUGGUGUAGCGGUGAAAUGCGCAGAUAUCAGGAAGAACACCCGUGGCGAAGGCGCCGCUCUGGGCCGUGACUGACGCUGAGGAGCGAAAGCGUGGGUAGCAAACAGG
rnacentral:rRNA from 1 species